rnacentral:rRNA from 1 species
UCUUCGGAAGGAAGCUCAAGUGACUGAGUGGCGGACGGGUGAGUAACGCGUGGGUAACCUGCCUCAUACAGGGGGAUAACAGUUAGAAAUGACUGCUAAUACCGCAUAAGCACACGUGAUCGCAUGAUCGAGUGUGAAAAACUCCGGUGGUAUGAGAUGGACCCGCGUCUGAUUAGCUAGUUGGUGGGGUAAUGGCCCACCAAGGCGACGAUCAGUAGCCGGCCUGAGAGGGUGGACGGCCACAUUGGGACUGAGACACGGCCCAAACUCCUACGGGAGGCAGCAGUGGGGAAUAUUGCACAAUGGGGGAAACCCUGAUGCAGCGACGCCGCGUGAAGGAUGAAGUAUUUCGGUAUGUAAACUUCUAUCAGCAGGGAAGAAAAUGACGGUACCUGACUAAGAAGCCCCGGCUAACUACGUGCCAGCAGCCGCGGUAAUACGUAGGGGGCAAGCGUUAUCCGGAUUUACUGGGUGUAAAGGGAGCGUAGACGGCAGUGCAAGUCUGAAGUGAAAGCCCGGGGCUCAACCCCGGGACUGCUUUGGAAACUGUGCAGCUAGAGUGUCGGAGAGGCAAGCGGAAUUCCUAGUGUAGCGGUGAAAUGCGUAGAUAUUAGGAGGAACACCAGUGGCGAAGGCGGCUUGCUGGACGAUGACUGACGUUGAGGCUCGAAAGCGUGGGGAGCAAACAGG